UAAGGAAUAUUGGACAAUGGAGGCAACUCUGAUCCAGCCAUGCCGCGUGAAGGAAUAAGGCCCUAUGGGUUGUAAACUUCUUUUAGACGGGACCAAACCCCUUUACGUGUAAAGGGUUGAUGGUACUGUCAGAAUAAGCAUCGGCUAACUUCGUGCCAGCAGCCGCGGUAAUACGAAGGAUGCAAGCGUUAUCCGGAAUUAUUGGGUUUAAAGGGUGCGUAGGCGGACUAAUAAGUCAGUGGUGAAAGCCUGCAGCUUAACUGCAGAAUUGCCAUUGAUACUGUUAGUCUUGAGAACAGUUGAGGUAGGCGGAAUGUGUCAUGUAGCGGUGAAAUGCUUAGAUAUGACACAGAACACCGAUUGCGAAGGCAGCUUGCUAAGCUGUAACUGACGCUGAGGCACGAAAGCGUGGGGAGCAAACA
rnacentral:rRNA from 1 species